CCUACGGGAGGCAGCAGUGAGGAAUAUUGGUCAAUGGCCGGAAGGCUGAACCAGCCAAGUCGCGUGAGGGACGACUGCCCUAUGGGUUGUAAACCUCUUUUAUAAGGGAAGAAUAAAUGCUACGUGUAGCAGGAUGCCUGUACCUUAUGAAUAAGCAUCGGCUAACUCCGUGCCAGCAGCCGCGGUAAUACGGAGGAUGCGAGCGUUAUCCGGAUUUAUUGGGUUUAAAGGGUGCGUAGGCGGUUUUUUAAGUUAGUGGUUAAACGUCGGGGCUUCACCUUGGUUUGCCGUUAAUACUGUAAGACUCGAGUUGAGAAGAGGUAGGCGGAAUAAGUAGAGUAGCGGUGAAAUGCUUAGAUAUAACUCAGAACUCCGAUAGCGAAGGCAGCUUACCGGACGGCGACUGACGCUGAAGCACGAGAGCGUGGGUAGCGAACAGGAUUAGAUACCCCUGUAGUC
rnacentral:rRNA from 1 species